UACGUAGGGUGCAAGCGUUGUCCGGAAUUAUUGGGCGUAAAGGGCUCGUAGGCGGUCUGUCGCGUCGCUGUGAAAACUCGGGGCUCAACCCCGAGCCUGCAGUCGAUACGGGCAGACUGGAGUGUGGUAGGGGAGAUCGGAAUUCCUGGUGUAGCGGUGAAAUGCGUAGAUAUCUGGAGGAACACCGGUGGCGAAGGCGGCAUUCUGGACCAUAACUGACACUGAGAGACGAAAGCCAGGGGAGCAAACGGG
rnacentral:rRNA from 1 species